AGCCUGCCAGUCAGCAGCAGGCAAAUGAGGAGACAUGCCGCCUCUUUGGCAGGCAGCGGGGGGAAGUAAGGCGGUGUCCCAGCUUCACGUGGGCCGGUCACUGGAACUCCAGGGCCCUGAUCUGGCUCGCGGGCCGGCAGUUUAACAUUCCAGCGCCUCUAAUAUAAUCCUGUGCUGCUGUCACUUGUCUGUACAUUUUCUUAGGGAGCUCCUCCCAUUAGUUUUUGGUUAGUGGUAUUUGUAAUGCAGAAGCCAUCGCGGUGAGGAAUCUUUCGUUCAGGGACGCUUUCUUGGCCCCAUGAACAAGGCUAAUGCUUCCGAAGGAUAAAUAAAGGCAAGUGGUGGCAAUGAUAAAGUACAGCAAGAUCCUUCUGAUAGAAAUUUGAUGCUGAGCUUCGGUGUAUGAAAAUAAUUUCAGGGUUACAGGAGAAAGCUGCCAUUUAACAUUUCUGGUGGGAGUGAAAGCACAGUGCUGUGCCUCUCUUAGAGAGAGAUACUUUCUAUUUAUUUAUUUACUUACUUACUUGUUUGUUUGUUUGUUUGUUAAACAUAUUUUCAUACCACCCAAAAUUUAUGUCUCUGGGCAGUUUACAACAAAGUAAAAACAGAAAAAGUAAAACAUUUGUUAAAACAAAAACAUAAAAAGUUAAAAUGUUACAACAAUUUAAAAAAUUUAAAAUAAUAUUUUAAAACAAUAUUAAAACUAUUAAAACAG